rnacentral:rRNA from 1 species
ACUUAAAUUGAAGAGUUUGAUCAUGGCUCAGAUUGAACGCUGGCGGCAGGCCUAACACAUGCAAGUCGAGCGGUAGCACAGAGAGCUUGCUCUCGGGUGACGAGCGGCGGACGGGUGAGUAAUGUCUGGGAAACUGCCUGAUGGAGGGGGAUAACUACUGGAAACGGUAGCUAAUACCGCAUAAUGUCGCAAGACCAAAGUGGGGGACCUUCGGGCCUCAUGCCAUCAGAUGUGCCCAGAUGGGAUUAGCUAGUAGGUGGGGUAACGGCUCACCUAGGCGACGAUCCCUAGCUGGUCUGAGAGGAUGACCAGCCACACUGGAACUGAGACACGGUCCAGACUCCUACGGGAGGCAGCAGUGGGGAAUAUUGCACAAUGGGCGCAAGCCUGAUGCAGCCAUGCCGCGUGUGUGAAGAAGGCCUUCGGGUUGUAAAGCACUUUCAGCGGGGAGGAAGGCGUUAAGGUUAAUAACCUUGGCGAUUGACGUUACCCGCAGAAGAAGCACCGGCUAACUCCGUGCCAGCAGCCGCGGUAAUACGGAGGGUGCAAGCGUUAAUCGGAAUUACUGGGCGUAAAGCGCACGCAGGCGGUCUGUCAAGUCGGAUGUGAAAUCCCCGGGCUCAACCUGGGAACUGCAUUCGAAACUGGCAGGCUAGAGUCUUGUAGAGGGGGGUAGAAUUCCAGGUGUAGCGGUGAAAUGCGUAGAGAUCUGGAGGAAUACCGGUGGCGAAGGCGGCCCCCUGGACAAAGACUGACGCUCAGGUGCGAAAGCGUGGGGAGCAAACAGGAUUAGAUACCCUGGUAGUCCACGCCGUAAACGAUGUCGAUUUGGAGGUUGUGCCCUUGAGGCGUGGCUUCCGGAGCUAACGCGUUAAAUCGACCGCCUGGGGAGUACGGCCGCAAGGUUAAAACUCAAAUGAAUUGACGGGGGCCCGCACAAGCGGUGGAGCAUGUGGUUUAAUUCGAUGCAACGCGAAGAACCUUACCUGGUCUUGACAUCCACAGAACUUUCCAGAGAUGGAUUGGUGCCUUCGGGAACUGUGAGACAGGUGCUGCAUGGCUGUCGUCAGCUCGUGUUGUGAAAUGUUGGGUUAAGUCCCGCAACGAGCGCAACCCUUAUCCUUUGUUGCCAGCGGUUCGGCCGGGAACUCAAAGGAGACUGCCAGUGAUAAACUGGAGGAAGGUGGGGAUGACGUCAAGUCAUCAUGGCCCUUACGACCAGGGCUACACACGUGCUACAAUGGCAUAUACAAAGAGAAGCGACCUCGCGAGAGCAAGCGGACCUCAUAAAGUAUGUCGUAGUCCGGAUUGGAGUCUGCAACUCGACUCCAUGAAGUCGGAAUCGCUAGUAAUCGUAGAUCAGAAUGCUACGGUGAAUACGUUCCCGGGCCUUGUACACACCGCCCGUCACACCAUGGGAGUGGGUUGCAAAAGAAGUAGGUAGCUUAACCUUAGGGAGGGCGCUUACCACUUUGUGAUUCAUGACUGGGGUGAAGUCGUAACAAGGUAACCGUAGGGGAACCUGCGGUUGGAUCACCUCCUUACCUUAAAGAA